rnacentral:rRNA from 1 species
GACGAAGGGGGCUAGCGUUGUUCGGAAUUACUGGGCGUAAAGCGAGUGUAGGUGGUUGUCCAAGUUGGAUGUGAAAGCCUUGAGCUCAACUCAAGAAAUGCAUUCAGGACUGGGCGGCUAGAGGACCGGAGAGGAUAGUGGAAUUCCCAGUGUAGUAGUGAAAUACGUAGAGAUUGGGAAGAACACCAGUGGCGAAGGCGGCUAUCUGGACGGUUUCUGACACUAAGACUCGAAAGCGUGGGGAGCAAACAGG